rnacentral:SRP_RNA from 1 species
GGUCCGGUCCUGUGCGACGCGGCGCCGUGAACCAUGUCAGGCGGGGAACCGAGCAGCAUUAAGCGGCGUUUCGCGGGUGCCGCAGCAAACCGGCCUCCG